rnacentral:rRNA from 1 species
AUUGAACGCUGGCGGCAUGCUUUACACAUGCAAGUCGAACGGUAACAGGUUAAGCUGACGAGUGGCGAACGGGUGAGUAAUGCAUCGGAACGUGCCCGAUCGUGGGGGAUAACGCAGCGAAAGCUGCGCUAAUACCGCAUACGAUCUGAGGAUGAAAGCGGGGGACCGUAAGGCCUCGCGCGAUCGGAGCGGCCGAUGUCAGAUUAGGUAGUUGGUGGGGUAAAGGCCCACCAAGCCGACGAUCUGUAGCUGGUCUGAGAGGACGACCAGCCACACUGGGACUGAGACACGGCCCAGACUCCUACGGGAGGCAGCAGUGGGGAAUUUUGGACAAUGGGCGAAAGCCUGAUCCAGCAAUGCCGCGUGCAGGAAGAAGGCCUUCGGGUUGUAAACUGCUUUUGUACGGAGCGAAAAGGUCCUUUCUAAUACAAGGGGCUCAUGACGGUACCGUAAGAAUAAGCACCGGCUAACUACGUGCCAGCAGCCGCCGUAA